rnacentral:rRNA from 1 species
GAUGAACGCUAGCUACAGGCUUAACACAUGCAAGUCGAGGGGAAACGGCAUUAAGUGCUUGCACUUUUUGGACGUCGACCGGCGCACGGGUGAGUAACGCGGAUCCAACCUUCUCAUGACUAAGGAAUAACCGGCCGAAAGGCAGACUAAUACCUUAUGGUCUUCACUGACGGCAUCAGAUGUGAAGAAAAGAUUUAUCGGUUAGGGAUGGGGAUGCGUCUGAUUAGCGUGGUGGCGGGGUAACGGCCCACCAAGGCAACGAUCAGUAUGGGUGAGGAGGGUCAGGUCCCCCGCAUCGGAACUGCGACACGGUCCACUCCCCUACGGGACGCAGCAGUGAGGAAUACUGGUCAAUCGGCCAUAGCCUGAACCAGCCACGUGGCGUGAAGAGUGACGGCCCUAUGGGUGGUCAUCUGCUUUUGAAUAAAGAUAAAGUCAAUAACGCGUGAUUGUUUGACGGUACCAUACGAAUAAGGACCGGCUAAUUCCGUG